UGAGCCGGGUACGGUUUGUUUAGGGGUGAGCACUGAACAGUGAGCACUGACUGACUGCCUACUGCGCAGUCAGCCGGUCAAAGACGAACUGUUUCUGCUCCUGUUGGUGUAAAUGCUAUUCUCAGUGUAUUGGAAAUUUGGAUGAUGAGAAUUCACCGAGGCAGAGGAAGGUUCUCUUUUGCUGAUAUCAUAGCAAUUUCGAUGAUAGGAGUUGGUGGUGCACUUUACUUCUGGCAACCAAUAUUUUCCGAAAUUAAUAAAGCUGCAAAGUCACAAGCUGUUGAGGCUGACACUUCAACUUCAAAAGCCACUUCCGUGAACUCCACACCUAAGACUUCCAGCUCUUAAUAACACAGGAUUAGAGGACUUGGUGUCAGCUCAGUGCCAGCCAUGUCAACUGCUGCAAGCAAACUUAUCAACAGGAUUACUAUUGCUUUCUUGGGUGGAGCUAUCCUAAGCUUUUUCUGGGGGAAAUAUUACAUUGCACCUUACUUGACGAAGAGGAAACAAGAUCGAGGCUUCGACUUUGGGGAAGUCCUCUACGAUAUGGAGACUAAGAAACCAGAUUCAAAAUAGAGUGAACAAAUACGUGCGACUUCACUUGUGUAUUCGAAAGUGUUAUGCGUCACUAUCAUGGAACGUUCAAACAAAUUACUAAUGUAUGUUUGUAUAUGAAAACAUGAUGUUUAUGACAUUUAAAUAGAACAUUAACCGUA
rnacentral:lncRNA from 1 species